AAGAUUUUAAGUUAAUAUAAAACUAGUUACCUUCAAAGUAUAAAAUAAAAAUUUAAUUUUUUAGAUCUUA
rnacentral:tRNA from 1 species